UCUAAUAUGGCAGAAAAGUGCAAUGGAUUUAAGCUCCAAAUAUGAAAAUAAUUUCUAUUAGAA
rnacentral:tRNA from 2 species